rnacentral:lncRNA from 1 species
UCAGCUCCAAUUUUCUUUUUAGUUCAUCAAUUGAAAUACUAGGAAUAUACUCUCACUUUGUCUUUCUUAGAAUCUCAUUUCCUUCUGAACUCUGCUCAAGUACAACCGUAUUAGGGGAAUACUUCUUUAAAUAGUUUGUGGCCCUGUAAGAUUGCUAGGCAACCCUACAGACCAAUGAGAAACUGAGAACUCAAACUCUGCCUUCCUCUAGCCUCUCUCUACCACUUUGAGUUGGAAUUCAGAUUGAGUCCAACUGAGAUUCAGUAAUGAGUUCUGCCUUAUGAAGAUUGACAGAGAUCAAGUUCAAUUCCACGGGAACUUCACAAGUUCCUCUUUGGGAAAACCACUACCACCACCACCACGAUCAUGCUUUUUGGGCUUUUACUAUAAAUUUCAUCAAGUGGUUUAUUGAGAAUGCGCUCUGGAGUGAUAAUAUGCUCUAGAAACUGACUGAAGAGGGGUCAAAUUCAAGAUCACCGACUUCUCGUUUGCAGACUCCAUUCUCGUCUUUUUUGUAAGUGGAAACAUUUACCCUUUCCAA